CACGUAGGGUGCAAGCGUUGUCCGGAAUCAUUGGGCGUAAAGAGCUCGUAGGCGGCUUAGUAAGUCGGGUGUGAAAACUCUAGGCUCAACCUAGAGACGCCACCCGAUACUGCUAUAGCUAGAAUCCAGUAGGGGAGUGUGGAAUUCCCAGUGUAGCGGUGAAAUACGCAGAUAUUGGGAGGAACACCAGCGGCGAAGGCGGCACUCUGGGCUGGUAUUGACGCUGAGGAGCGAAAGCGUGGGUAGCGAACAGG
rnacentral:rRNA from 1 species